GACAGAGGGUGCAAACGUUGUUCGGAAUUACUGGGCGUAAAGCGCGUGUAGGCGGUUAUGCAAGUCGGAUGUGAAAGCCCUCGGCUCAACCGGGGAAGUGCACUCGAAACUGCGUGACUAGAGUCUCGGAGAGGAUCGUGGAAUUCUCGGUGUAGAGGUGAAAUUCGUAGAUAUCGAGAGGAACACCAGCGGCGAAGGCGGCCAUCUGGACAGAUAUUGACGCUGAGGUGCGAAAGCGUGAGGAGCAAACAGG
rnacentral:rRNA from 1 species